AGCCUCCAAAGUCAUCCCAUUGUUCUUGAACAUGAGAUAGCUCUUGAACUCUUUCCAUGUCCUGGGAGCUUGUGGAUGACUUCAAGCCACUAUAAAUGCCGUCACUCAAUAGAAUUCCUUUCUGCUUUGAUUUCAUUUAGAGAACCUGGAGCUCCUGGACCUGAUCCGUUACGACUCGUGUCCAGCAUUACAUAGUCUAGAAACCGACCAACAUAAUUUCUUGGAACCCCGCUCCCUCGAUCUGUGUAUUUCCUGUCUAAGGACUCCCACAUCUCCUUAGCAGAUUUCUAUCGUUGUACACCGAGUACAAAGAAUCCUCCCCCAGGCAUUAUAAUUAAUUCUUGCACAGAUUUCCAGCAUUUUUCAGUGAUCUCCGCAAUUCAUCACCUUCUGACUAUCCGUCUCAUUUUUCAGCCACAAGUGGACUUCUCAGUUAAGCAUCUCCCAGCGAGAUUUAGCGUCGUAAGAUUAACAAUCAUCUUUCUGCUUGCCAUCUCUUGAAUCAGCCCCACCAAACUUUCCUGGUUUGUCCACAGAGCCAUCGGGAUUGUUGGAACACCAGGGUUAGAGCAGCAGUUCUCCCAGAACUGACCUGAUGCUUGUUUCAACAACAUUAGUCGACAUGUUUUUCUGAAAAUGAUCAAACCACAUUAAUUAUAUAGAUCUUCACAAUAUCGAUAAGAUGAAUGAGAAAUAAUCUAAACAUAAUGACCACAAAUGGUCCAACACUCCUUUAUACUCGUGUUUUUUAGGGUAGGUUCCCUCAACGGAGAUUGACCUUGAAACUUCAAAAACGGUAUGCCGGUAACUCCAAUUUGUUGAUAAAAAUCUCCAACCGGUCCAACAUCACAGAGCUUUCAACCGCCUUGUUUUCAAUAAAGGUCCAAGCCCGCACAACUGCCAAUCAACUCUGAUGCGUCACCAGCAGGUUACCACAUAGUGGUAAAAUUAUAAUGUUUUUUCAAGAAUUUGGGGUACUAUAAUUUCUUAAAAUCUGGAUACAACUGUAAUUUUCAGAAUUUAUGAUAAAAUUUGUAGUUUUCAAGAUCGGAGUUAAACUACAAAGUCGGAAAAUUUUGAAAAAUUUGACUUUUUUUUUUUUUUAUAAAAAGUAUGAGUUUAUUAUAGUUUUCAAAUAAAUUGAGGUCAAAUUUUGGUGUAGACUUAAAAAAAAAACCUAAAAUCGUAGUGGGCAGAAACCCACCUAAAACUUCCUCUCUUUUCAAUUUUGAAAAAGGCAAAGAUUCUCAUUAAGCCCAAAGUAGUGGGCAGAGCACCCAUCCUUAAAAUAACUUCCUUAUAAUAUAUUUAUGAUUAUAUAUAUAUAUAAUAAUAUCCAUAUGCUGUCCUCAGAACAUGCGCAUGCCCAUCCUUAAAAAUACUUCCUUAUAAUAGUAUUAUUAUUAUUAUAUUUAUACAAUAUAUAUUAUUAUAUAAUAUAUCCAUAUGCUGUUCCUCAGAACAUGCGCAUGCCCAUCCUUAAAUUACUUACUUAUAAUAAUAUAUAUAUAUAUAAUUACCAUAUUCUUCCCUUCUCUCUGUUAUAAGAUCAGAACCUGCGCAUGCGUGUUUUUUUUUAUUAUUAGCUGUCCCUCUCUCUCCUUUCUAUGCCACGAUGUUCCUUCUCUUUCUAUUCUCUUUCUUUCUUUUCUCACUUUUUUUGUUUAUUCUUCUUUCCUCUCUUAUUCUUUCCUUCUAUCCGUGCCCCCUCUCUCUUUCCUCAUUCAUUUCUUCUAAUAAUGAGAGGACCCUCUCUUGUCUAUAUAAUUUUUUUUCUUCACAAUCGGCGAUACCAGUUUAAUCUCGCCGGAGUUCGACAAUCCGAUGCCGACCGAAGUGUUUUUUUUUCGGUAAGUCCCGAACAUUUUUUUUUUUUUUCAAAUUUUUUUUUUUCUGUCUAGAUCUGUACAUAUCAAAGAGUACCAACUUCUUCUUUACGAUGUUAGAUCAUGCCAUCUCACAUUAGUAACUGAAAAAAAAAUUAUUUUCUGAAAUUUGAUUGCCGAGAUCAAAAAUAAUCUUUCUUAAGAUUGUUGAAAAAAAUUAAUUCCCCCCGCCCCCAUACAAUUUCAAAGAAUAAUUUCCAUUAAUCAAAAUAAAUUGCAGAAAUUUAAAUUACAUACACUAAAUAUAAGAGAUACAAACAGAGUAGCCGAGUCCUGCAAUCGCAGUCCUCCUUAGAAAGAUUCGCCGCUUACCGAGGGUUGUUGUAGGGUGCUGUCGACGUCCUUCCUCCCAGAUAAACGGCUAGAACCACUAACUUUGGAACACUCCAAACAGCCUUGGCGAACUAAACUGUAUCUGUCUUCCUCUCCUCAAAGAACUCAAAUGUAGGGGUAUUUGUUCUGUUGGUGUUUGUAUUGGUGUGUUUUUUUUUCAGUGCUACACCUCACAUUAUAGCCAAACAAAUGCUCUAUUUUAAUCAUUAUAAUUCUAGUGGGCAUUAAACCCUCAUCAUGAGGAUGCUUGUGGAUUCUCCAUGACAGCCAUUAGAGGCUGG
rnacentral:lncRNA from 1 species